rnacentral:rRNA from 1 species
AUGUACAUUCCUACAACAUAGCAUUAAUGCACCAGAUCCCAUUAGAAGUUUGCAAUUAAGCGCACUCAGGAUAGAGUAGUAUUGGGAUGGGUGAUCGCUCGGGAAGUCCUAGAAUUUUACAUG